GAUGAAGAACGCAGUGAAAUGCGAUACGUAAUGUGAAUUGCAGAAUUCAGUGAAUCAUCGAGUCUUUGAACGCACAUUGCGCCCCCUGGUAUUCCGGGGGGCAUGCCUGUCCGAGCGUCAUUGCUGCCUCAAGCACGGCUUGUGUGUUGGGCCUCCGUCCUCCUCCCGGGGGACGGGCCCGAAAGGCAGCGGCGGCACCGCGUCCGGUCCUCGAGCGUAUGGGGCUUCGUCACCCGCUCUUGUAGGCCCGGCCGGCGCUUGCCGACACAUCAAUCUUUUUUCCAGGUUGACCUCGGAUCAGGUAGGGAUACCCGCUGAACUUAAGCAUAUCAAUAAGCGGAGGA
rnacentral:misc_RNA from 1 species